GGGAAUUCCGAUUUCUGAUCCUAUUUUGAUAUUCGAAAAUAACUCCAAAAUUUCCACAAAAAAAAUCCCAAAUAUUCUGUCUUAAAUUAGGUCUAAAUUUAGAGCGCGCGAAUUCGAGACCCUUCGAACCUUCAAACACCCAAACGUGAAAAUUGAAAUCCCUAAAAUCUAAAAUCCCUCUUUUCUUAAUUCUGAACGAUUCUUCAAUCUUCUCUUCACUUUCGCCGCGACUCUUAAAUAAUCAGUUUGCAGAUUCCAAAAUAUAUCUCUGUCUUCGGCAUUGCUCCGUCACAUUGAGCUUUCUGUUGGAAACCCGUUCGCCACUAAGAGAAGAAGGCGUAUGUAGUAUUCAGAACUAGACAAAUUAUGCCAGUUUGUGAUAAGAAUGGAGCUAAGAGACGCAAUUCAGAAUUUGACAAGACAGCAGGUACUAGGACCAGCUAAAAGAUCUAUAUAUUAUUAUAUUAAUCAUGCAUAAGAAUUGUUUGUAUAUAGUUGAAAUCAGGGAAGCUUGUAACUGGGUGAAAAUGAAUCAUUUUAAUUAACUCGAAUUCACUUUCUGCUUAUUUUUUUUUAAUUGAAAACCUCUGCUUAACUGA